rnacentral:rRNA from 1 species
ACGCUCGACACCUACGAGAGGCAGCAGUGGGGAAUAUUGCACAAUGGGGGAAACCCUGAUGCAGCGACGCCGCGUGAGCGAAGAAGUAUCUCGGUAUGUAAAGCUCUAUCAGCAGGGAAGAAGAUGACGGUACCUGACUAAGAAGCACCGGCUAAAUACGUGCCACAGCCGCGGUAAUCUGAGCGGGCUGGCAAGGC